rnacentral:lncRNA from 1 species
CUGCCGCAGUAGCUCCUCGAAACGCAUGGUCUCAGCGCCCAUCUUCUCUGCCUCGCUUAGCUCGGGCACCAGCAGCUUCGAGUCCGCCAUGGCCCUGGGGAAAAGACCUAGGCGUCCUCAGUAACUCCGACGUGAGCGGGAACCUUCGCCAGGAUGCGAAUUGUGGAGCCUGCUGCCAGACCCACCCCCGGCUCCUGGUGCCCACUAUUCCGUAUGAAAGUUUAAGAAUCUGUCCUGAAACUGUAAUUCCACUCAGACCAGAUACGGCUGUCAAAUCUGUUAGGAGCCAAUAUUUCCAGAUGCUCUCUACGUCCUACGUGCUAUGUAAAUGACAGCCACGCUUCUAGUCACUGUGUAACCAAGGACUUCGGCCGACCACGCUUCCGUCUGCCUCAAAAGCUCAUUCACCAAUCCUGCAACCUCAUUACGUUCCGACCAAUCAUAAUCUAAGGAUUAAGCCCCGCCUCUCACCUCAACCAAUCAAAACUAAAUCCUGAACCUAGUCUCUAAAUGCCACACUUCCUGUGCCGAUUAAAGCCGUAUUUCUCCUUCCCAACAACAUCUAGCCAAACUACGGGGGAGUCCAGACUGGCACACUUUCAAAACCUUCAUUUCAGUGUCCAUCCUAAAAGAUUCCCUUCUGAUCUAUGAACUAUCGCUUCGUCCCAGAGCUAGAUUCGAUUCUCUAGUAAAUACACUUCGGACUAAAUAUACUUCCUGUCCUCAGUAUAAAAAGGGUGGCGGGAAGAACCACACGGUCAUUCUUCUAAAUCCGGAGCAGCCCUAACUACCGGCCAGGCGCCCACAUCUCGGUUCCCCGCCGCCCCCACUUUGAGGACUGCGCAUGCUCCAAACUACACUUCCCAGCUUGGGGGCAUGGGCGGGGCCACCGGGUCUAAGGUGGGGUUACGCUCUAUCUCCUGUAGCCCCGCCCUUUGGGCUGGAGGGGGCGGUGUCGCCCUUCGACCUCAAGGUUCCUCUGGGCAGAGCGGGGGCCCCGCACUCCUUCGUGGAAAGCGGUCCGGGCGAGUGAUGGCUGCGACGCACGCACAGCGCAGCACCCGAGAGAUCUUCACCACCCUGGAGUACGGACCCGUGCCUGAGAGCCACGCAUGCGCAUUGGUGAGGGCCUGCCGUUCAGCGCUGCCCAUUCCCGCCCCCUCCCCCCCCCCAACCGGGCAUCCAGGUCCAGUUUAGCGCGCGGACUCCCGUGAUCCACCGCGGCAGCUCAGCAGCUCCGCCCUUCUCGGUUCCCGUGAUUCUCGCCACCCCUUGGGACCCACCCUAGAAGGGCAUUCCCUUAAGCCUUUGCGGUUGCUUCUUCUUAACCCUGGAUCCUCUUCCGUUGUUUGGUAGUAGCUCUCCUGCUCCCUGGUACCUACUUGUGAUGGCGUUUCCCCGGUUGCUUCGAGGCCUCGGAUUCCCCGGAAGCUCUCGUGAUUCUUCCAGCCCCCUCAGAACUUCCCGGGAUCCCCCAGGACUCGAAAUUCCUGUGGGGCUCCCUUGAUCUUCCAAGGACCCUCAGAAGCCCCAUAGACUUCCCCAGAACAUCCUGUAGCUCCCAUGAUCCUGAGUCCCCCCACACCCCCGCCUUCCCAUGGAGUCCCGGGAUUCCUCAAGGCCCCCACCAAUACUUGAGGGUCUCCUAGGAUCUUGUGAACUCAGAACUCCAGAAUACAUCAGAACUAAACUGUAAUUAACCUACACCCCCCAGAAUAUCCCCAUGGGGCUCCCAUGACCCCCUCACCCAUCUCAGAAUACCCCCCAUGGGGCUCCCGCGAUUCUUCAGGGCCUCUUCAAAUCCUCAUGAGACUUCUGUGAUCCCCCAGGGUUCCCCAGAACCUCUUGUGGUUCUUAGGGAGAAGUAGGGUGGCUGGAAUAUCCUGUAAUUACCUAGCCCCCUCAGAAUUCCCUCAUUGGGGCUCUCGUGAUCGCACAGGGUCUUCUAGCACCCAGGAAUGAGAAGCUUGGGCUUCUCUUCAAGGAGAGAAGAGGAGUCUAGAACCGUGGUCCAAGUGGAAGAAGAUGAGGUCAGAGCCAGGAGCCCGCUGUGAAAAUGGAUAAGGUGGAUAGGAGGGGAUGAGGCAGGGGAACCGUUUGAGGAGUUGAGAGGGCAAGGGCAAUGCCUGGGGUCCAGCUGUGUCUCCAUCCCUCCACCACCGCCACCAGGGAGGAACCCAGGAGGACUAGAGUCGCAAGGAAAGACCCUGAGCGUGAUUAUCGCAUGGUGAAAGUGUGAGGGACCCGGGGACAGCCUUGAGUUAUGUGCAGGAGUCUGAUGUUACUUGGGCUUGAGCCUUUCAGGACUGGAGACAGGGACCUGGGAGUCACCACCGUAAGACCAUUGGACGGUGGGAGUGAUGAUCUGGGACAGAGCACACAGAAUUCCCACACUUGAAGGUGGGCUUGAGAUGGAAUAUACUGAGAUAGCAAUAAUGUAGAAAUAGCUUAUAUUUACUGGGUGCUUUCUACGUGCCAGCCUCUGCGCUCAGUGUGAUCUCCUUUAAUCCCCAGAACAGCUGUGGGAGGGGAUGGUUGUCAUCCUUUUAGUGAUAGCACACGGAGGCUUCAGGGGGUAAGUAAUUUGCCCACGGCCAACACGGUUUAACAUAGGUAAAGCUGAGAUCUGAACCUGAACCCUCGGAUUCACGGUUCCCCCACAGCCUCCCAAGCAAAGGUCUCAACCUUACAACAUGUGGGCCCGAUUCAUCCAACAAAUUGUUUUCUUUGGCCCGAACUUUAUUUUUGAAAAUGCGAAUUCGUGGUCGACUCAUUCCAUGGAAACAUCCCAGGAUCCCAGCUUCUUUUGAAAAUAAAAUCCCAAAAUUUGGCAAUGUUUGGCUCACAUUCCCUGACAAAAAUCAUCUGGAUCCAAUAGUGACUGUCUUUUUUUUAGGCAAGUUGUGAGUUCCCAGUCUCCACCAGGCCCUCUUCUCACACUAGCGUGACCUGCCAGGACCCCGUAGACAUUCUUUUAGGGUUUUGUUUUUCUUUGGGAGGGGGGGGGAUUUGCAAACUUCCACAGAGAACUUGAUACUAUGUAUUGCUGUUUACUUCAGCUUCAGGAAUCGUCAGCAUUUGGGCCAGAGUUGUAUUCUUUGGUUUUCUCUUUUUUCUGGAAUGAUUUAAAUCCCAGAUGUCAUGUUAUCUUCCCAUAAGUAUUUGGAUCCUCUUUUCUAACCGAUAAGAACUCACUUGAUAACAUAACCCACCUGGCCAUUUUUCACACUUCACGCUAGCAGCCAAUUCUUUAAUUUUUUGAAUAUUUUUAAGUAGGCUCCACGCUCAACGUGGGGCUGGAACUCACAACCCUGAGACCAGGAGUCACACAUUCUACUGAGUGAGCCAGCCGGGCGUGCCCCUAGGGGUCAUUCUUUAAUAUCAUCCAGUGUCAGGGUGCCUGGGGGGCUCAGUCUGUCAAGCGUCUGACUCUUGAUUUCGGCUCAGGUCAUGAUCUCACCGUUCGUGUUCCAGCCCCAUACGAAGAGCCAGUUGGCAGGGUGAGAGAAAGAUUAGGAGAAUGGGGCAUUUGGGAUGCUAAGAGAAGAGAGAGAACAUCUGUGGAAGGAAAAAAUGGGAAGCGUGACUCGGAUUUAGCGAGGAUUUUGGGGGGGACAGGAGCAGGGAGAGAAAUCUGAAGCAGACGUGGAGGGAGAGAUUAAGAGCAAGUCUUACGCAGUGCUGCUCUCAGCGUGUCACGUGCAUUGAUCCAUUUCAUCCUCGCCACAACCCUGUGAAGUAGGGAGGGGCUGGGAUUAUCCCCAUCUUUCAGGUGACCUUGCGGGGACCAGAGUGUGAUAACACCCUGGCUAAGGUUGCACCGCUCAGUCCCAGAACCGGGUUUCGAAUCCACACACUGCUGCCCCGUUGGCAAUGCCUACGUGCCGCGCCUGGGGCUCAGCCCAAGAAGCUGCACCUGUGGGGCCUGUGUCUUCACUGGGGGUCCACACUGCUCCUCUAAGUGGCGGCCGCCGAGGGGGGAGGGAAUGCCAUCACACGGUUGGGUGCAGGGACUACCCGGCUUAGAAACCCCACCUUCCAAAAAGAACCCGAUGGUGCCUAAUACAGUGUCAUGGGCGUUGCUUCCAGAGUCUUGUACGCCCCAAGGUAUAUGCCCCAUCACAGGAAUGCAGAGGACUCUGGGCACCUGGGGGGCUCAGUGGGUUGAGCGUCCGACUUCAGUUCAGGUCACGAUCUCCCGGUUCGUGAGUUCGAGCCCCACCCUCAGGCUCACUGCUGUCAGCACAGAGCCCGCUUCAGAGUUCAGAUCCUCUGUCCCCCUCUCUGUCAAAUACAUAAACGUUAAAAAAAAAAAAGAAUGCAGACAACUCCAGACAGCCUCAGUGCCCUGGCUUCCCAUUGGAUAUUUAGGGUGUGUCCCCAGUUGUCCCGUUCAGGCGCAGUGGACCAUUCAGGAGUCAUUGUUGUCUGGUAAUACAGCUGAAUUGUCUCAGGUUCCCUGAGUAUUAGAAAAGUUCACCUGAGGUCACUUCUGCAUGGAGGAGAACAGAUUGUUUUGUUUUGUUUCGCUUCGUUUUGUUUGGCUUUUUAAUGUUUGUUUAUUUUUGAGAGAGAGAGACGGGGAGACAGAGAGGGACACAGAAGCCAAAGCAGGCUCCAGGCUCUGUGCCGUCAGCACGGAGGCCGACGUGGGGCUCAAACCCAGGGACUCAAGAUCACGACCCGAGCUGAAAUUAGACGCUCAGCCGACUGAGCCACCCAGUCGCCCCAGGAGGAUGGGUUUUAUGAAGCCGCGUGUCAAAGUCAGUAGGACAGCCCUCACGUGUGGCUGGUGAGAACGUAAAAUGGCACAACCACCAUGGCAAACAGUUUGGUGGUUCGUCAAGAGGUUACCCAGAGAGUUGCCAUAUGACCCAGCCAUUCCGCUCCUGGGUACAUUUGCCUAAAAGAAGUGAAGGCGGGUGUUCAGACAAAAUCAGGUACGGGAAGCUGCCUCAGCGGCACUGUGCACAUUAACCAGAAGGCUGAAACAAACGGAAUGUGUCAAGUGAUGAUGAGCAGAGACAAAACGUAGCCUCUCCAGACAAUGGAAUGUCCUACAGCCACGAAAAGGAAUGAUUGAUACGUGCUACAACUUGGAUGAGCUCCAGAAACACCAUGCUGGGGGCACCUGGAUGGCUCAGUCGGUCAAGCGUCCCACUUCGGCUCAGGUCAUGAUCUCAUAGUUUAUCAGUUCGAGCCCUGCAUUGGGCUCUGUGCUGACAGCUCAGAGCCUGCUUCAGAUCCUCGGGCUUUCUCUCUCUCUGCCCGUCCCCAGCCUGUGCUUUCUCUCUCUCUCUCUCAAAAAUAAGUAAACAGUGAAAAAAUUUAAAAAGCAAACCAUCUUGGGUGAGAGAAGCCAGCCAAAGUGGCCACGUGUUGUGGGGCCCCGAUUCACGUGGGAUAUCCAGAGAAGGCAAAUCCGCAGAAAGAGGAAGCAGAUUAGCAGUUAGGGGCUAGGGGCAUGAGGAAGAGAGAGUGACUGCCUGAUGGGUGCCGAGUUUCGUUUUGGGGGGAUGAGAAUGUUCUGAGACUAGGUCGUGAUGGUUGCACGACAUUGUGAACGUACCACAUGCUGCUGAAUUGUACGCCUUGAAAUGGUUAACAUGGCGGGUUUUAUGUUCCGUGUUGUUGUUGUUUUUUUCGUCUUUAUUUAUUUUUGAGAGGUGGGGGUGGGGGAGACAGAACCCAAAGCAGGCUUCUCGCAUCAGCGCAGAGCACGAUGCGCGGCUCAAAGUCACGAACCGUGAGAUGGUGACUCGGGUCAAAGCCGGACACUCAACCGACUGAGCCCACCCAGGCGCUCCAUUUGGUACAUGUAUCUUAUGUUUAUGUGCAUUUUCCUGCCACACCGGCAAAGAAUUGGCAGGUGGGGCGAAGGGGUGUAACCCAGAGGACCCUAGGUAGGGACUGAACUCCCCUAGCUGCCUCUCAGACCUUGUCCUAAACUGUCUUUGCCUCCCCCAGGCCUGGCUGGACACCCAAGACCGGCACUUGGGUCACUAUGUAAAUGGAAAGUGGCUAAAGCCGGAACACAGGAAUUCAGUACCUUGCCGGGAUCCUAUCACAGGUAUGAAGUGUCCCCCGGUUGUUCGGGGAGGGAGAGGCAGGCAUCCAUAUCCCCAGCCGUAUCUACCAACGACACCCCAUUCUCUUUGCUCAGGGCCCUGAAGGCAGGAAGUAGCCAGUGGGGGGAGAAGCCCAAGAUUUCUGGCUCUUCCCGUUAAAGUCAUCCAAAUAAUAGCUCCAAGUGCCUGUGGAUGCUUUUUGAAGUCAGUGUCUACCAAGAUCCCUUCCUUGAUUAAUAUAUUUAUAUAUUUUUAGUGUUUUAUUUAUUGUCGAGAGAGCGAGCGAGCGAGUGUGCGAGCAGGGGAGGGGCAGAGGGAGAGGGGGACAGAGGAUCUGAAUCGGGCUCUGCACGGACAGCAGCGAGCCCGAUGCGGGGCUCCGACCCACAAACCGUGAGAUCGUGACCUGAGCUGAAGUCGGAUGCUCAACUGGCUGAGCCACCCAGGCGCCCCUACAACCAAAAUAUUUAUAAUAGAGUGGGGCUGGGGAGCAGCUCUACUGCCUGAGGGGGCACAUCUGGGGUCCCUCCUUCCAUCUCCCCAGGAGAGAACUUGGCCAGUUGCCCCCAGGCACAGGCUGAGGAUGUCGCGGCAGCCGUGGAGGCAGCAAGGACUGCGUGGGAGAACUGGAGCGGACUCCCUGGAGCCUCUCGGGCCCAGUACCUGACCAGGUGAUGCGGUUGAGGUGUGGACCUUGGGAGGUGGGGGACAAGAUGAGACCAAUCACUCCUGUAAAAGUGAAUGAGACAGUCGGGGCAGGCACUGCUGGUUCACGAGGGAGGAAGGGGCUGGGGACCAGGACUCCUGCGUCUCACCCAUGGGCUCCCAGCCUGCCAGCGCCUCAAGCAACCACUUGAGACUCUGGGAACAAAGACUAUUUCCCGAUGUCUCGAUGUCUCGCGGAACUGAUCGCAUAGCUAAGGCUCACAUUCCCAGCAUGCUUUGAGCCUGUAGCAGCUAAAGCAUCCAUCCACCAGGACUAGUAAUGACAAAGCUCUGUUUCCCAGAAUAGCCUCGGGCCUCAUCGAGGCCCCAUUUUCCUGGCAGUUCACUGGGGCUGCUGGAGCCUCAGCGCCACCCGUUUUCCAUCAUACUCUUGGAGCAAUUAGAGACCAACAUUCCAUUUUCUAAAAUGCAAUUGAGAUUAAAGGUUGAAUUUCCAAUUUCUCAGCACCUUUGGGGGUUGCGGGUGGCCGAGAUCUGCAAAAGGCACCCUCGGGUUUUGUGUUUCUCGGACUACAUUUCCCAUAAAUCUUUGGUGCUCUUCGCCUCUGGUAAAUGGUGGAGGCGAUCAUGGGGAUUGUAGUCCAGGUAUGUAGGGGGUGUUCCAGGACUCUGACUGAGAGGCAAUGGGAAAUGACUCUCCCCCUGGCUUUCUCUACAGGCUGGCCAAGAUGAUCCAGAAGCACCAGCGGCUACUUUGGACCCUGGAGUCCCUGGUGACCGGGCGAGCCGUUCGAGAGGUUCGAGACAGGGAUAUCCCACUGGCCCAGCAGCUACUCCAAUGCCAUGCAGUCCAGGCAUACACCCAGGAGGAGACGCUGGCAGGCUGGGAGCCCAUGGGUGAGACGCAGGAGUCCUGGUCCCCAGCCCCUUCCUCCCUCGUGAACCAGCAGUGCCUGCCCCAAUUGUCUCAUUCACUUUUACAGGAGUGAUUGGUCUCAUCUUGUCACCCACGUUCUCCUUCCUUGAGAUGAUGUGGAGGAUUUGCCCUGCCUUGGCU